AUGAAAACAGAUGUUUUAAAUGUAGCUUCCUUACAGCAAGUUCUAGAUACCUACUGCCAGAGUUUGGGUCAGAUGGCGAGUUCGGCAAAAUCAAGCAUUUACUUCAGUCCUAAUACAAGUGUCCUCACAAGAUCUGAAAUUUGUCAAGAGUUAAAUAUUGAUAGUGAGGCACUUUCUGAUAAAUAUUUGCGAUUACCUGCAUUAGUUGGGGCUGACAGGAGUGAUUGCUCCAGACACUUUUGUGACAGAAUUAGACAGCGAAUCCAAGGAUGGAUGGAAAAACAAUUGUCUACAGGGGGUAAGGAGAUUCUACUUAAAGCUAUGUCCCAAGCUAUUCCUAUUUUUGCUAUGUAUGUGUUUUGCAUUCCUAAAGGCAUAUGUAAGGAGAUAACUGAUAUUAUUGCCCAGUUCUGGUGGGGAGAUGAUGAGGAACACAAAAAGAUGCAUUGGUAUGCUUGGUGGAAACUUUGUUAUCCAAAAAGUGAGGGAGGAAUGGGAUUUAGAGAUCUUUAUUCUUUUAACUUGGCAAUGUUGGCGAAACUGUGUCGGAGAAUUAUUACAAAUCCAGAGUCAUUGUGUGCAAAGAUAUUGAAGGCAAAAUAUUUCCCAAAUAGUAGCCUUCUGCAAGCAAGUUUGAAGAAUGGCUCAUCAUUUACAUGGCAAAGCAUUAUGAAGGGACUAGAAGUAUUUGAAAGAGGCUAUAUAUGGAGAAUUGGAUCAGGAGAGGUGGUUAAUAUCUGGAGUGAUCCAUGGAUCCCUUCUAGCCCAGAUAGGAAGAUCAUUACACCCCGUGGUCAUAAACUGUUGACAAGUGUAAGUGAUCUAAUUGAUUCAAACGUGGGAACAUGGGAUGAGGAGUUGAUCAAAUGA
rnacentral:rRNA from 1 species